AAUACAAGAAAAAAGGACCUAACAUAACAAAAAAAUAUAUAGGUGUGGGUGUGUGUCUCCAUUUCUCUGCAUAAGCAUAUGUCUCUGUGUAAUUAUUUAGGCCGCAUAUGCUAGCACUUUUAGGUCUAUAGAUGCAGUAUGGUUUAUGAUCGCUCAUUAUUUGUCAUGAUCAUCAGUUAUGUUAAUCAAGAUUCAGAUUUAUAUUGUAAGGAGGACUAAGGAGACAUAGUCUCAUUCUUACACUUACAUGGUAACUAUAU